rnacentral:rRNA from 1 species
UGAGGGAUGAAAGCUGGGGGAGCAAACCGGAUUAGAAACCCGGUAGUUCCAGCUUAAACGAUGCAAACUAGGGGAUGCCCUGGCUUGUGGCCAGUGCAGUGCCGCAGGAAGCCGUUAAGUUUGCCGCCUGGGAAGUACGUACGCAAGUAUGAAACUUAAAGGAAUUGGCGGGGGAGCACCCACAAGGGGUGAAGCCUGCGGUUCAAUUGGAGUCAACGCCAGAAAUCUUACCCGAAGAGACAGCAGAAUGAAGGUCAAGCUGGAGACUUUACCAGACAAGCUGAGAAGUGGUGCAUGGCCGUCGCCAGCUCGUGCCGUGAGAUGUCCUGUUAAGUCAGGUAACGAGCGAGAUCCCUGCCUCUAGUUGCCACCAUUACUCUCCGGAGUAGUGGGGCGAAUUAGCGGGACCGCCGUAGUUAAUACGGAGGAAGGAAGGGGCCACGGCAGGUCAGUAUGCCCUGAAACUUUGGGGCCACACGCGGGCUGCAAUGGUAACGACAGUGGGUUCCGAAUCCGAAAGGUGGAGGUAAUCCUCAAACGUUACCACAGUUAUGAUUGAGGGCUGCAACUCGCCCUCAUGAAUAUGGAAUCCCUAGUAACUGCGUGUCAUUAUCGCGCGGUGAAUACGUCCCUGCUCCUUGCACACACCGCCCGUCGUUUCAUUGAAGUUGUCUUUGGUCGACGGUCAUUGCGUCAUG